rnacentral:guide_RNA from 1 species
AUGCAUAAACUGUGAUAGAUUCAGUGAGAGUAAGAUAGU